UACAGAGGCCUCGAGCGUUAGGCGGAAUCACUGGGCUUAAAGCGUGUGUAGGCGGACCCCUAAGUACCUUGUGAAAUCCCACGGCUCACCCGUGGAACGGCUGGGUAUACUGGGGGUCUUGAGCCACCUAGGGGCACGCGGAACUUCCGGUGGAGCGGUGAAAUGCGUUGAUAUCGGAAGGAACGCCGGUGGCGAAAGCGGCGUGCUGGCCCUCUUCUGACGCUGAGGCGCGAAAGCCAGGGGAGCGAACGGG
rnacentral:rRNA from 1 species